UACGUAGGGUGCGAGCGUUGUCCGGAAUUACUGGGCGUAAAGAGCUCGUAGGUGGUUUGUCGCGUCGUUCGUGAAAUCUCGGAGCUUAACUUCGAGCCUGCGAGCGAUACGGGCAGACUUGAGUACUGCAGGGGAGACUGGAAUUCCUGGUGUAGCGGUGAAAUGCGCAGAUAUCAGGAGGAACACCGGUGGCGAAGGCGGGUCUCUGGGCAGUAACUGACGCUGAGGAGCGAAAGCGUGGGUAGCAAACAGG
rnacentral:rRNA from 1 species